GUGCCAGCCGCCGCGGUAAUACGUAGGUGGCGAGCGUUGUCCGGAAUUACUGGGUGUAAAGGGCGUGUAGGCGGGGAUGCAAGUCAGAUGUGAAAUCCCACGGCUCAACUGUGGGGGUGCAUCUGAAACUGUGUUUCUUGAGUGCUGGAGAGGAAAGCGGAAUUCCUAGUGUAGCGGUGAAAUGCGUAGAUAUUAGGAGGAACACCAGUGGCGAAGGCGGCUUUCUGGACAGCAACUGACGCUGAGGCGCGAAAGCGUGGGGAGCAAACAGGAUUAGAUACCCUGGUAGUCCACGCUGUAAACGAUGGAUACUAGGUGUAGGAGGUAUCGACCCCUUCUGUGCCGGAGUUAACACAAUAAGUAUCCCACCUGGGGAGUACGGCCGCAAGGCUGAAACUCAAAUAAAUUGACGG
rnacentral:rRNA from 1 species